rnacentral:rRNA from 1 species
GACCUGCUCUCAUAACUCAAGGAUCCACGCAUACCCAACCUUCUCUUGAUAUCAGCAUGUGUACUGCCGUUGUAAGCAUACCUUUAAAAGAAUAGUAUGCUGCUAUGAUUUAUAAUAACUCACACACAUCAGGUCAAAGUGCAGCUAAUAAGGAGGUGAUGAUGGGUUACAACCCUAAAACAGACUAUCAAUUAAGAAAUAAAAAAUCUUAUGAAAGUGGACUUGGCUGUAAUCAAUUUUAAAUUAAAAAAAUGAAUAAUAUCUAAGACAUGUACACAUCGCCCGUCACUCUAUCCUAAAGGUUAGAUAAGUCGUAACAAAGUAGGUGUAAUGGAAAUUGUACCUGUCGAGGCAUAGCAUAUGAAAUGCUUUUUACUUACACUAAAAAUAAAGUUAAUAAACUUGCCCCGCCCACGUAUAACUACCCUCCAAACAACCAAAUAAUAAAAACAGUCUAAUAAUAUAACUAAUUUCAAGUACAGAAAUGGAAACGAUAAUAAAUAAAAGUAAAUUUUAAAAAAUGUACCUUGUGCAUUAUGGUUUUACAAGAAAACAAUUCAACACCCUAAUCCCGAAUUCUAAGUGAGAUGUUAAACUGCUGUUAUGAACCCAUUAAUAACUGUGGAAAAAGUUUUAAAAGACAGUUUAACAGAGGCUACAUACCAUCCGCAUAAGAAUAUAGCUGGUUUUCAACAAACAUUAUACAUUAAAACAUAUAAUCAUAUUAUAGUGUUAUACUAUUGAGGAUAAGCCCAAUAAUUUAUGCAAUAAGCACUAUAUUCUAUCUUACCUAGUAGGCCUAAAAUCAGCCAACUAAAAUACUUUACCGUAGUAUAGAUAGAUAUAAUAUAUAGUACAGAAUGCCCAUAAAAGUUGAAAUAGUGGAAAAAUUAAAUUCUCCCCUUAUUUUAUGUAAAAAUAAGUAUUAUAAACAUAUAAAAAACACCAAACGAGUAACAACAUCACACUAUUAAACAAUUAUUAAUUAAGGAACUCGGCAAAUCAUUAUUUCGACUGUUUAACAAAAACAUUGUCUUAUGAAUAAAAUAUUAGAUAAUCCUGCC